CCCAUACAUAUAUACAAUUAAUAUUAAUACGUUUUUAGGUGCAGGAAUACAAGUCACAAUUAUAUUUCGUGUUUUCAGAUAGUGAAGAGUAGUGAAAGGUUAAGUUUAUACCUUUUUUUUAUAGGUAUUUCGUCAUUUUCACGUUUUGAAAGUUAAAACAUUCUUUUUUUAAACUUAAAAUGUUAGAGUGAUUCAAUCAAAAUCAUUCACGGUCCGAAAUUAUGUU